GACGAACGCUGGCGGCGUGCCUAAUACAUGCAAGUCGAACGCAGGGGGGACGGGUGAGUAACACGUGGGUAACCUCCCAUCAGAGGGGAUAAAACUUGGAAACAGGUGCUAAACCGAUAUUGAUGGCUGGACCCGCGGUGCAUUAGCUAGUUGGUGAGGUACCGGCUCACCAAGGCAACGAUGCAUAGCCGCCCUUAGAGUGUGAUCGGCCACACUGGUACUGAGACACGGCCCAGACUCCGACGGGAGGCAUGCGUAGGGAAUCUUCGGCAAUGGUCGAAAGUCUGACCGAGCAACGCCGCGUGAGUGAAGAAGGUUUUCGGAUCGUAAAACUCUGUUGUUAGAGAAGCGGUAUCUAACCAGAAAGCCACGGCUAACUACGUGCCAGCCGCCGCGGUAAUAC
rnacentral:rRNA from 1 species